rnacentral:tRNA from 1 species
CGAGGUGUAGUUCAGUCCGGCAGAACACUUGCUUUGGGAGCAAGGGGUCGUUGGUUCAAAUCCAGCCACCUCGA